UCCCAGUCAAAGGUUUCUACAGCCAGUUCAGAUUCUCCCAUGUUUCUGUCUGAACUGGCUGUAGAAACCUUUGACUGGGAUU
rnacentral:pre_miRNA from 1 species